GGGUCAUUAGCUCAGUCGGUAUUAGAGCAGCGGACUUUUAAUCCGUUGGUCGAAGGUUCGAAUCCUUCAUGACCCACCA
rnacentral:tRNA from 1 species